rnacentral:rRNA from 1 species
AAUCAACGCUGGCGGCGUGCCUAACACAUGCAAGUCGAACGAGAAAGUGGAGCAAUCCAUGAGUAAAGUGGCGACCGGGUGAGUAACACGUGACUAACCUACCUUCGAGUGGGGGAUAACCUCGGGAAACCGGGGCUAAUACCGCAUAACAUCUUUGAAGUGGAAAUUUCGGAGAUCAAAGGAGCAAUUCGCUGGAAGAGGGGGUCGCGGCUGAUUAGCUAGUUGGCGGGGUAACGGCCCACCAAGGCUUAGAUCGGUAGCCGGCCUGAGAGGGCGCACGGCCACACUGGAACUGAAACACGGUCCAGACUCCUACGGGAGGCAGCAGUGGGGAAUUUUGCGCAAUGGGGGAAACCCUGACGCAGCAACGCCGCGUGGAGGAUGAAGUCCCUUGGGACGUAAACUCCUUUCGACCCGGACGAU